GCGAAGUUCACAUUUCCCUCCACCAUCCCCUAAAAUCGAUUUUCGCUCUAUCCCGCGCUAACCCCACCACUAAUGUCCCGACCCAAACACUCAUCAUCGGCGCCGGCGCCGGAGAAUAGAAUCAGCAGUUUAUCAGACGGAAUCCUCUGCCACAUUAUCUCUUUCCUCCCAACCAAACACGCCGUCACCACCGCAGAUAUCUCCAAAAGGUGGAUUAAUCUAUGGCGCUCUAUUCCCAACAUCGAUUUCAGCAAUAUCGAAUUGGAAGAUCGAGAAUCCAAUCACCGAUUCAACGAGUUCGUCUACUCGUCUUAGUUUCUCGUGAAAUCGCUGGUUUUCAUUCCAUCAACAGUUUCGUCCUCAACAUCGAACGCGGUUACAUUUAUCACGUCUUUUCUCUUACCAUUCCCAAUCUCACACGAUGGGUUAACCUAAUCGUUCAACGCAAUCUUCAACAUCUUCAUCUUCUUCUCCAUCUGCUUCGUGAUUUCAACGACGACGAUGAUAAUGAUGAUAUACUACUUCCCAAAUUGCCCAAUAGUGUAUUUACCUGCAAAACCCUAGUGAUUCUAAACCUUAGUUGUUUCUCUCUAAAAAGGUUUUUCUUUUUCUUCGAUUGGAUUUGGAUUUCCGAAACUCAAACCCCUUCAUUUGAAAGAUAUUGAUUUUGAUGAAGAUCGAGAUUUUAUGUUGUUAUUAGCUGGAUGCCCAAUUCUUGAAGAUUUAAUGGCAAGUCAUGUGUAUGUGUACAUGGUGGUGGCUCUCAAGAGUUUACAAACUUAAGCUUAAGCAAGUUGUUUAGAGCAGAUAUUUUUUGUUGUUAUUGUGAUUUUCCAACGACAACACUUUUUAACACGGAGUUUCUAAGAUUUCAACUAAGGGAGGUAGCUCCAUUUGAUUAUUAAUAUGAUAUGUUACGAUGCAUAGAAUCAUCAACUAAACAGUCAUUUUGGUUGUGAGAUGUUGUCAGUUGUGCUAUAAUCCAAGAUGUAUUGAAAUUAUAAAGAUAUUUCAAGUGUGUUUUUGUAAUUUUGAUAUAUUCAAAAACUAUUGUGGAAGAGAGUAACACAUUUAAAGACCAAAAUGAUUGUUUAUUGCUAGAAAAAUGUGAUUCAUUUGUAUCUUGUAUUUUUGGAUUUCUGGUCUGAUUUCUGAUUUUGUCUUUGUACAUAAUAUAGGCGUAUACCUUUUAUGAUUUUCCUACCUUUCAUAAUUUGACUCACUUGGUGCCAAACUAUGAUCGGGAUAUGGUGGUAGAAGUGCUGCACCAAGUUUAUCAGAAGAUACAAAGUGAGUGGGAUGACUACAUUGGAGAAUUAAAACAAGAAAAUUGGGUGAACCCAGAAUUUGUUCCACUAUGUCUUUCAUUAUGCCUUAGAACUUGCACUAUUCGGGACUUUGCAUAUUUAAGCCUACAACUUCAACAUCACCUUAUGUUGGCAGAAUAUAUUCUUAAGAAUGCGAGAGUCUUACAAACCAUGACAAUAUGGAGUGACAAAGAACUACCUGAAAUAGAAACAAAAUUGUCCUCAUAUCCUAGGGCCUCUGCAAAUGUCAACUUUCAGUUUUUUGAUUACAUAGAGCAUAUGUAAGUACUACUUAGUUUCUCUAUCUUACAUGUAGUGCAUUAGCUUCUAUCAUGCAACUGUUGUAUUGGAUGGUUUGAUGAACUAUGUGCUUUCAAGGUCACAGACUCUGUCUCGGGGCACAAGUUAAGGAAAAAUUAUCCUUAAAUGAUAUAGUUAGUACUUGCCUAA